rnacentral:rRNA from 1 species
UACGUAGGGUCCGAGCGUUGUCCGGAAUCAUUGGGCGUAAAGAGCGUGUAGGCGGCUACUUAAGUCCUGCGUGAAAUCUUGCGGCUCAACCGCAAGCGGUCGUGGGAAACUGGGUGGCUAGAGUGCGGGAGAGGAGAGUGGAAUUCCUGGUGUAGCGGUGGAAUGCGCAGAUAUCAGGAAGAACACCCGUGGCGAAGGCGGCUCUCUGGAACGCAACUGACGCUGAGACGCGAAAGCGUGGGGAGCAAACAGG